rnacentral:rRNA from 1 species
ACUGGGUCGCUGCCGGCUAUCGGCGAAUCAACUGGCUAUCCGUCCAAAGCGCUCUCAUUAUCGCGCAAAUCCCCGUGGGGCUAUGCGCGGGCUUUUAUCUCAAAUUCAUCGGAGCCGUCCCCUCAUUGGUCUUUCUUGCCCUUGUGUCACUGACGAUGGGUUGGGUCUUCCUAAGCGCCUGCAUAUCUAAGAGAUGGAAACAGUUCUUUAGUGUUGUACACCUAUUCGCCGUGGCCGCACUGUGGGUAGCCUUCUUUGCGGCAGGGCCUUACCGCCCCUAUUUCGUUGCGGCUAUGGUUGUAUCAACCGCCGUUUCGAUCUGGGUAGCGUAUCGAAAUGUGAUCAAUCGGGAGAUCGAAAGUGAAAAAUCUGACAAUGCGUUGGGGGUAUCUACCUAAAAACCCGUUGUGACCUGUGGGUUUGUGUCAACAGGUCGUGGUGUGUACAUUUAAUCAAGUCGCCGCGACCGACACCGCCUCACACAAGUGAGAGCAGGUGGGAGGAAAACAAGCUGGUUGACAAAAAUACAUGUAAUUCUUCACCGAGCAUCAUUGUUUCAUGGUGGUGUGUGGUGGUGUGAUUGUGUUGUUUGAGAACUCAAUAGUGUGCGAAUCCUAAUGAGGGUGUUUUUAGUGGCAUGUCCUGGACCCGAAGCGGGGUGAUCUACCCAUGGCCAGUGUGAAGCAGCUGUAAGAGGUUGUGGAGGCGCGAACCCACUUAGGUUGAAAACUGAGGGGAUGAGCUGUGGGUAGGGGUGAAAGGCCAAUCAAACUCCGUGAUAGCUGGUUCUCCCCGAAAUGCAUUUAGGUGCAGCGUUGUGUGUUUCUUGCUGGAGGUAGAGCUACUGGUUGGUUGAGCGGGACUACAAUCUUAGCAAUGUCAGCCAAACUCCGAAUGCCGGUAAUGUUAAGCAUGGCAGUGAGACUGCGGGGGAUAAGCUCCGUUGGUCGAGAGGGAAACAGCCCAGAUCGCCGGUUAAGGCCCCUAAGGGUGUACUAAGUGGAAAAGGAUGUGGGAUCGCGAAGACAGCCAGGAGGUUGGCUUAGAAGCAGCCAUCCUUGAAAGAGUGCGUAAUAGCUCACUGGUCGAGUGGUUCUGCGCCGACAAUGUAGUGGGGCUCAAGUACACCGCCGAAGCCGCGGCAGUCAACAAUGUGUUUUGUUGGUUGGGUAGGGGAGCGUCGUGCACUGCUGUGAAGCACCUGGGUGACUUGAUGGUGUGGAGUGUGUGCGAGUGAGAAUGCAGGCAUGAGUAACGAAUGAAAAGUGGAAAACUUUUCCGCCGGAUGACUAAGGGUUCCUGGGUUAAGCUAAUCUUCCCAGGGUGAGUCGGGACCUAAGGCGAGGCCGACAGGCGUAGUCGAUGGAUAACCAGUUGAUAUUCUGGUACCCGUGUAUGUGCGCCCAGUGGUGAAUCAGUGGUACUAACCAUCCAUUGAUCUGCUGGUCAUGCUUUGUGUGUGGUUGGUGGUGAUGUGCGUGGGAUCUUCGUUGGUAGUAGCCAAGUGAUGGGGUGACGCAGUGAGGUAGCCGAGCCAUUUAUUGGAUUGUGGUGUAAGCGUGUGGCCCGUGGCAUAGGUAAAUCCGUGUCGCAUAUUUGGGUGAGGCGUGAUGCGUAGACCUUUGUGGUUGAUGUUGGUGAUCCUGUACUGUCGAGAAAAGCCUCUAGCGAGUGCAUAUAUGGCCCGUACCCAUAACCGACACAGGUGGUCAGGUAGAGAAUACUAAGGCGAUCGGGUGAACUGUGGUUAAGGAACUCGGCAAAUUGCCCCCGUAACUUCGGGAGAAGGGGGACCAUUGCUGGUGACCGACGUGGUUGAGCUGGUGGUGGUCGCAGAGAAUAGAGGGAAGCGACUGUUUAUUAAAAACACAGGUCCGUGCGAAAACGUGGAAGUUGAUGUAUACGGACUGACGCCUGCCCGGUGCUGGAAGGUUAAGAGGACCUGUUAGGGCAUUUUUUGUCCGAAGCGGAGAAUUUAAGCCCCAGUAAACGGCGGUGGUAACUAUAACCAUCCUAAGGUAGCGAAAUUCCUUGUCGGGUAAGUUCCGACCUGCACGAAUGGCGUAACGACUUCCCUGCUGUCUCAACCACAGGCCCGGUGAAAUUGCAGUACGAGUAAAGAUGCUCGUUACGCGCGGCAGGACGAAAAGACCCCGGGACCUUCACUAUAGCUUGGUAUUGGUGUUUGGUUCGGUUUGUGUAGGAUAGGUGGGAGACUGUGAAGUGGUCACGCUAGUGGUUGUGGAGUCGAAAGUUGAAAUACCACUCUGAUCGGAUUGAGCACCUUAACCUUGGCCCAUGAUCUGGGUUGGGGACAGUGCCUGGUGGGUAGUUUAACUGGGGCGGUUGCCUCCUAAAGUGUAACGGAGGCGCCCAAAGGUUCCCUCAGCCUGGUUGGCAAUCAGGUGGUGAGUGUAAGUGCACAAGGGAGCUUGACUGUGAGACUGACAGGUCGAGCAGGGACGAAAGUCGGGACUAGUGAUCCGGCACCUACUUGUGGAAGUGGUGUCGCUCAACGGAUAAAAGGUACCCCGGGGAUAACAGGCUGAUCUUCCCCAAGAGUCCAUAUCGACGGGAUGGUUUGGCACCUCGAUGUCGGCUCGUCGCAUCCUGGGGCUGGAGUAGGUCCCAAGGGUUGGGCUGUUCGCCCAUUAAAGCGGCACGCGAGCUGGGUUUAGAACGUCGUGAGACAGUUCGGUCUCUAUCCGCCGCGCGCGUUGAAACUUGAAGAAGGCUGUCCCUAGUACGAGAGGACCGGGACGGACGUACCUCUAGUGUGCCAGUUGUCACGCCAGUGGCAGGGCUGGUUGGCUACGUACGGGAGGGAUAACCGCUGAAAGCAUCUAAGCGGGAAGCCUGUUUUGAGAUGAGGUUUCUUUU